rnacentral:rRNA from 1 species
GACGAACGCUGGCGGCGUGCCUAAUACAUGCAAGUAGAACGCACAGUUUAUACCGUAGCUUGCUACACCAUAGACUGUGAGUUGCGAACGGGUGAGUAACGCGUAGGUAACCUGCCUGGUAGCGGGGGAUAACUAUUGGAAACGAUAGCUAAUACCGCAUAAUAUUAAUUAUUGCAUGAUAAUUAAUUGAAAGGUGCAAUUGCACCACUACCAGAUGGACCUGCGUUGUAUUAGCUAGUAGGUGAGGUAACGGCUCACCUAGGCGACGAUACAUAGCCGACCUGAGAGGGUGAUCGGCCACACUGGGACUGAGACACGGCCCAGACUCCUACGGGAGGCAGCAGUAGGGAAUCUUCGGCAAUGGACGAAAGUCUGACCGAGCAACGCCGCGUGAGUGAAGAAGGUUUUCGGAUCGUAAAGCUCUGUUGUAAGAGAAGAACGGGUGUGAGAGUGGAAAGUUCACACUGUGACGGUAUCCUACCAGAAAGGGACGGCUAACUACGUG